UACGGAGGGGGCUAGCGUUGUUCGGAAUUACUGGGCGUAAAGCGCACGUAGGCGGACCAGCAAGUUAGGGGUGAAAUCCCGGGGCUCAACCCCGGAACUGCCUUUAAAACUGUUGGUCUGGAGGUCGAGAGAGGUGAGUGGAAUUCCGAGUGUAGAGGUGAAAUUCGUAGAUAUUCGCAAGAACACCAGUGGCGAAGGCGGCUCACUGGCCCGAUACUGACGCUGAGGCACGAAAGCGUGGGGAGCAAACGGG
rnacentral:rRNA from 1 species